AUUGAACGCUGGCGGCAGGCCUAACACAUGCAAGUCGAGCGGGAACUUCGGUUCUAGCGGCGGACGGGUGAGUAAUGCGUAGGAAGCUACCCGACAGAGGGGGAUACCAGUUGGAAACGACUGUUAAUACCGCAUAAUGUCUACGGACCAAAGUGUGGGACCUUCGGGCCACAUGCUGUCGGAUGCGCCUACGUGGGAUUAGCUAGUUGGUGAGGUAAUGGCUCACCAAGGCGACGAUCCCUAGCUGGUUUGAGAGGAUGAUCAGCCACACUGGAACUGAGACACGGUCCAGACUCCUACGGGAGGCAGCAGUGGGGGAUAUUGGACAAUGGGCGCAAGCCUGAUCCAGCCAUGCCGCGUGUGUGAAGAAGGCCUACGGGUUGUAAAGCACUUUCAGUAGGGAGGAAGAGUUGAGUGUUAAUAGUACUCAGCUUUGACGUUACCUACAGAAGAAGCACCGGCUAACUCUGUGCCAGCCGCCGCAGUAAUAC
rnacentral:rRNA from 1 species